rnacentral:rRNA from 1 species
GCUUUCNAGCGAGAUAAGUCGUAACAAAGUAGAUGUAACGGAAGUUGUAUCUGU